GUUAACAAGUUGUUGAACCAUCAACAUUGUUGCAACUUGUUGACAAUCAUGUUAACAACUUGCAACAGUACUGAUGGUUGAACAACUUGUUAACAAUAUUGUUCACGGGGUGCAGCGCAACUCAAACAGGAGUGAACAAUGUUGUGCUGCACCCCGUGAACAAUAUUGUUAACAAGUUGUUCAACCAUCAGUACUGUUGCAAGUUGUUAACAUGAUUGUCAACAAGUUGCAACAAUGUUGAUGGUUCAACAACUUGUUAAC